CGUUUGUCUGAUACAGAAAAUCGAUCACAUUGCAUACCACAAUCUGUGCAGCCUCAGAAGUAAGGACGUGUGUGAGUUUGGACAUCUCUGUAUCGAAACCAAGGAAUGCUGCUGCGCCAGUGGCAUCUGAAACGGAGAGUAUCAUACGGUACCUGAGAGAAGGGUUAUGAAAACAUUUUAAUUUAAGAAGACUCGCAAUGACUCUAUAAUGAUUCCAAAAGCUAAUCAAAGUAGAUGUGGUUGAUCAACUAUAGCCAACCGGAAGAUAUAAGAGAAAAAGGUUGUGUAGAAGACGGUAAAAGAAACAUCUUAUACACAAUUCAGAG
rnacentral:lncRNA from 1 species